CUCCGUUGGACACCAGAGAGAGGCCACUGGGUGACAGAAUGAUGCCAGCAAGACCUCCUUAUUCACCUUUUCAUGGGGGCAGAAGGGAAGCAGCGGCUGUGGAACCAGAUCAGGGUCCAGUGUGCUUUGAAGAUGUCACUGUUCAUUUCACAGACGAGGAGUGGGCGUUGCUGGAUCCUGACCAGAGAGCUCUACAUAAGGACAUCAUGGCGGAGAAUCAUGGGAUCGUGGCCUC